CGGCUCACGUGACCCCCGCGCGCAGUGGCUGGCUGGCUGCGGUCGGGCCGCGGCCGACGUCGUGCCGCGGAGCACUGUGGUAGUUGUAGUCUCGCCCGGCGCUCUCCUCGCCAGAUCCAGCUUAGGACUGCCGUCUGGGAUGCCUCUUAAGUCCCCUUCAAGAGCCUGCUAUGAGAUCCAGCUGCCCUUGGGGCUCCCUUUUUCACAUACAAUUCUAUUCCAUGGGGUCACUAUUCCUUCCCAACCACACUUUGAGGACAGGAAUCUGGCUAAAUCUAACUCCCAUAUCCAUCCACAGGAACUGUAUAGAAUUGAGGUGUGAUGAAUAAAGAGAAACAAGAGGAAAAGU